GGCGGACGGGUGAGUAACGCGUGAGAAUCUGGCUCCAGGUCGGGGAUAACAGUUGGAAACGACUGCUAAUACCNGGAUGUGCCGAGAGGUGAAAGAUUUAUUGCCUGGAGAUGAGCUCGCGUCUGAUUAGCUAGUUGGUGGUGUAAGGGACCACCAAGGCGUCGAUCAGUAGCUGGUCUGAGAGGAUGAUCAGCCACACUGGGACUGAGACACGGCCCAGACUCCUACGGGAGGCAGCAGUGGGGAAUUUUCCGCAAUGGGCGAAAGCCUGACGGAGCAAUACCGCGUGAGGGAGGAAGGCUCUUGGGUCGUAAACCUCUUUUNUCAAGGAAGAAGAAAGUGACGGUACUUGAGGAAUAAGCAUCGGCUAACUCCGUGCCAGCAGCCGCGGUAAUACGGAGGAUGCAAGCGUUAUCCGGAAUGAUUGGGCGUAAAGGGUCUGCAGGUGGAACUGAAAGUCUGCUGUUAAAGAGUUUGGCUUAACCAAAUAAAAGCGGUGGAAACUACAGAACUAGAGUGCGGUAGGGGCAAAAGGAAUUCCUGGUGUAGCGGUGAAAUGCGUAGAUAUCAGGAAGAACACCGGUGGCGAAAGCGUUUUGCUAGACCGUAACUGACACUGAGGGACGAAAGCUAGGGGAGCGAAUGGGAUUAGAUACCCCAGUAGUCCUAGC
rnacentral:rRNA from 1 species